AAUGAAGGCUGGCGGGAGGCAUAACACAUGCAAGUAGAACGAGAGACGGAAGGGUGAGUAAAGUAGGGGAAACUGCCCGUGGGAGGGGGACAACUACUGGAAACGGUAGAUAAUACCGCAUACCAUCGGAUGGGCCCAGAUGGGAUUAGGUUGGAGGUGAGGUAACUGCUCACCUAGGCGACGAUCCCUAGCUGGUCUGAGAGGAUGACCAGCCACACUGUACCUUAGACACUGGCCAGACUCCUACGGGAGGCAGCAGUGGGGAAUAUUGCACAAUGGUCGCAAGCCUGAUGCGGCCCUGCCGCGUUUAUGACGAAGGCUUUCUGGUCGGAAAGUGCUUUCUGCGGGGGGGCGUUCCCCGCAGAAGAAACCCCAGCUAACUCCAUGCCAGCCGCCGCGGUAAUAC
rnacentral:rRNA from 1 species